UCCAUUCUGGCUCAGUCGGUAAAGAAUCUGCCUACAAUGUAGGAGACCUGGGUUCAAUCCCUGGGUUGGGA
rnacentral:tRNA from 1 species